CAGAAUCACAGAAAUGGAGAUCAUUUGUAGCCAUGGGAUCUUCAACUGUAUGUGAAAGCAACCUGGGGAGACUUUGAGAGCUCAGCUCAACAUAACACCUGCAGCUGCCACUCGCCUUUCCUAUGAUA